rnacentral:rRNA from 1 species
AUGAGUCUCGGGGGAGAACCCUUGCCGCCACUCCUUCCCUCCCCUAUACCUCCUCCCCGUCUCGCCGCCGCCGUCGGAGUGCGCCCCGGGGCGAAGCUAGGGCCAGCGCCUCCAUGCGUCUCUGGGGAGAACCCUAGCCACCACCCCUUCCCUUCCCUAACUCCUCCAUGUCUCGCCACCCCCGCCGGAGGGCGUGCCGGGGCGAAGCUACGGCCAUCCCCAAGGAGGGCGACGACGGGGCACCUGGUUUGUGUCGGCUUGGCACGGGCGCGCGGCAAACGCUUGGUGCAGCAGCGUUGA